GCGGUUAGCUCAGCUGGGAGAGCAUCUGGUUUACACCCAGAGGGUCGGCGGUUCGAACC
rnacentral:tRNA from 1 species